CGGAUCGGAGUCUGNAACCCGACUCCGUGAAGCUGGAUUCGCUAGUAAUCGCGCAUCAGCCAUGGCGCGGUGAAUACGUUCCCGGGCCUUGUACACACCGCCCGUCAAGCCAUGGGAGCCGGGGGUGCUUGAAGUGCGUCGCCGCAAGGCGCGCCCUAGAGCAAAACCGGUGACUGGGGCUAAGUCGUAACAAGGUACC
rnacentral:rRNA from 1 species